rnacentral:rRNA from 1 species
AUUGAACGCUGGCGGCAUGCCUUACACAUGCAAGUCGAACGGUAACGGGUCCAUCGGGAUGCCGACGUGUGGAGAAAGGGUCAGUAAUAUAUUGGAACGUGCCCAGGUGUGGGGGAUAACCGCCCGAAAGAGCAGCUAAUAGCGCAUAAGGCCCGAGGGUGGAAGGGGGGGAUCGCCAGUCGCACCGCUAUUUGAGAGGCAGAUAUCAGAUUAGCUAGUUGGUGGGGUAAAUGACUACCAAGGCAACGAUCUGUAGUUGGUCUGAGAGGACGACCAGCCACACUGGGACUGAGACACGGCCCAGACUCCUACGGGAGGCAGCAGUGGGGAAUUUUGGACAAUGGGCGCAAGCCUGAUCCAGCAAUGCCGCGUGCAUGAAGAAGGCCUUCGGGUUGUAAACCGCUUUUGUCAGGGAAGAAAUCUUCUGGGCUAAUACCCCGGGAGGAUGACGGUACCUGAAGAAUAAGCACCGGCUAACUACGUGCCAGCCGCCGCAGUAA